CGAAUGCUGACAUAAGUAACGAUAAAGCGGGUGAAAAGCCCGCUCGCCGGAAGACCAAGGGUUCCUGUCCAACGUUAAUCGGGGCAGGGUGAGUCGACCCCUAAGGCGAGGCCGAAAGGCGUAGUCGAUGGGAAACAGGUUAAUAUUCCUGUACUUGGUGUUACUGCGAAGGGGGGACGGAGAAGGCUAUGUUGGCCGGGCGACGGUUGUCCCGGUUUAAGCGUGUAGGCUGGUUUUCCAGGCAAAUCCGGAAAAUCAAGGCUGAGGCGUGAUGACGAGGCACUACGGUGCUGAAGCAACAAAUGCCCUGCUUCCAGGAAAAGCCUCUAAGCAUCAGGUAACAUCAAAUCGUACCCCAAACCGACACAGGUGGUCAGGUAGAGAAUACCAAGGCGCUUGAGAGAACUCGGGUGAAGGAACUAGGCAAAAUGGUGCCGUAACUUCGGGAGAAGGCACGCUGAUAUGUAGGUGAAGCGACUUGCUCGUGGAGCUGAAAUCAGUCGAAGAUACCAGCUGGCUGCAACUGUUUAUUAAAAACACAGCACUGUGCAAACACGAAAGUGGACGUAUACGGUGUGACGCCUGCCCGGUGCCGGAAGGUUAAUUGAUGGGGUUAGCGGUAACGCGAAGCUCUUGAUCGAAGCCCCGGUAAACGGCGGCCGUAACUAUAACGGUCCUAAGGUAGCGAAAUUCCUUGUCGGGUAAGUUCCGACCUGCACGAAUGGCGUAAUGAUGGCCAGGCUGUCUCCACCCGAGACUCAGUGAAAUUGAACUCGCUGUGAAGAUGCAGUGUACCCGCGGCAAGACGGAAAGACCCCGUGAACCUUUACUAUAGCUUGACACUGAACAUUGAGCCUUGAUGUGUAGGAUAGGUGGGAGGCUUUGAAGUGUGGACGCCAGUCUGCAUGGAGCCGGCCUUGAAAUACCACCCUUUAAUGUUUGAUGUUCUAACGUUGGCCCCUGAUCGGGGUUGCGGACAGUGUCUGGUGGGUAGUUUGACUGGGGCGGUCUCCUCCUAAAGAGUAACGGAGGAGCACGAAGGUUGGCUAAUCCUGGUCGGACAUCAGGAGGUUAGUGCAAUGGCAUAAGCCAGCUUGACUGCGAGCGUGACGGCGCGAGCAGGUGCGAAAGCAGGUCAUAGUGAUCCGGUGGUUCUGAAUGGAAGGGCCAUCGCUCAACGGAUAAAAGGUACUCCGGGGAUAACAGGCUGAUACCGCCCAAGAGUUCAUAUCGACGGCGGUGUUUGGCACCUCGAUGUCGGCUCAUCACAUCCUGGGGCUGAAGUAGGUCCCAAGGGUAUGGCUGUUCGCCAUUUAAAGUGGUACGCGAGCUGGGUUUAGAACGUCGUGAGACAGUUCGGUCCCUAUCUGCCGUGGGCGCUGGAGAACUGAGGGGGGCUGCUCCUAGUACGAGAGGACCGGAGUGGACGCAUCACUGGUGUUCGGGUUGUCAUGCCAAUGGCACUGCCCGGUAGCUAAAUGCGGAAGAGAUAAGUGCUGAAAGCAUCUAAGCACGAAACUUGCC
rnacentral:rRNA from 1 species